rnacentral:piRNA from 1 species
UCCCUUACCAUAUUGACACUU